GAGGAAAUUCAGAACCACGUUGCGUCUCA
rnacentral:piRNA from 1 species